GACAGAGGGUGCAAACGUUGCUCGGAAUUACUGGGCGUAAAGCGCGUGUAGGCGGACUGGUGUGUCGGAUGUGAAAUCCCCAGGCUCAACCUGGGAACUGCAUUCGAAACUGCCAGCCUUGAGUGGUGGAGAGGGAAGUGGAAUUCCUGGUGUAGAGGUGAAAUUCGUAGAUAUCAGGAGGAACACCAGUGGCGAAGGCGGCUUCCUGGACACCAACUGACGCUGAGGCGCGAAAGCGUGGGGAGCAAACAGG
rnacentral:rRNA from 1 species